rnacentral:rRNA from 1 species
GGGGAAUAUUGGACAAUGGGCGCAAGCCUGAUGCAGCGACGCCGCGUGAGGGAUGACGGCCUUCGGGUUGUAAACCUCUUUCAGCAGGGAAGAAGCGAAAGUGACGGUACCUGCAGAAGAAGCACCGGCUAACUACGUGCCAGCAGCCGCGGUAAUACGUAGGGUGCGAGCGUUGUCCGGAAUUAUUGGGCGUAAAGAGCUUGUAGGCGGUUUGUCGCGUCUGCAGUGAAAAUCCGAGGCUCAACCUCGGACUUGCUGUGGGUACGGGCAGACUAGAGUAUGGUAGGGGAGACCGGAAUUCCUGGUGUAGCGGUGGAAUGCGCAGAUAUCAGGAGGAACACCGAUGGCGAAGGCAGGUCUCUGGGCCAUAACUGACGCUGAGAAGCGAAAGCAUGGGGAGCGAAC